rnacentral:rRNA from 1 species
GAUGAACGCUGGCGGCGUGCCUAAUACAUGCAAGUCGAGCGAACGGACGAGAAGCUUGCUUUUCUGAUGUUAGCGGCGGACGGGUGAGUAACACGUGGAUAACCUACCUAUAAGACUGGGAUAACUUCGGGAAACCGGAGCUAAUACCGGAUAAUAUUUUGAACCGCAUGGUUCAAAAGUGAAAGACGGUCUUGCUGUCACUUAUAGAUGGAUCCGCGCUGCAUUAGCUAGUUGGUAAGGUAACGGCUUACCAAGGCAACGAUGCAUAGCCGACCUGAGAGGGUGAUCGGCCACACUGGAACUGAGACACGGUCCAGACUCCUACGGGAGGCAGCAGUAGGGAAUCUUCCGCAAUGGGCGAAAGCCUGACGGAGCAACGCCGCGUGAGUGAUGAAGGUCUUCGGAUCGUAAAACUCUGUUAUUAGGGAAGAACAUAUGCGUAAGUAACUGUGCACAUCUUGACGGUACCUAAUCAGAAAGCCACGGCUAACUACGU